UACGAAGGGUGCAAGCGUUAGUCGGAAUUACUGGGCGUAAAGCGUGCGUAGGUGGUUCGUUAAGUCUGUUGUGAAAGCCCUGGGCUCAACCUGGGAAUGGCGAUGGAUACUGGCGAGCUAGAGUGCGGUAGAGGAUGGCGGAAUUCCCGGUGUAGCGGUGAAAUGCGUAGAGAUCGGGAGGAACAUCAAUGGCGAAGGCAGCCAUCUGGGCCAGCACUGACGCUGAGGCACGAAAGCGUGGGGAGCAAACAGG
rnacentral:rRNA from 1 species